AGAGGCAUUGGCGGGCCUUGAUUCAUGUGUGAUCAGCUUACAGAAGCUUAUCCAUUGCCCUCCGGCUGUGCUGACCUCUGUGUUUUCCCCAAAUGUGGGAAACUUGAGUGCAUAGUUUGUGGUAGUGGAGGACUGUGUUCGUGCUUUCCCCUG
rnacentral:snRNA from 1 species